rnacentral:rRNA from 1 species
GAUUAAGUUAUUAAGGGCGCACGGUGGAUGCCUUGGCACUAGAAGCCAAUGAAGGACGUUACUAACGACGAUAUGCUUUGGGGAGCUGUAAGUAAGCUUUGAUCCAGAGAUUUCCGAAUGGGGAAACCCAGCAUGAGUUAUGUCAUGUUAUCGAUAUGUGAAUACAUAGCAUAUCAGAAGGCACACCCGGAGAACUGAAACAUCUUAGUACCCGGAGGAAGAGAAAGAAAAUUCGAUUCCCUUAGUAGCGGCGAGCGAAACGGGAAGAGCCCAAACCAACAAGCUUGCUUGUUGGGGUUGUAGGACACUCUAUACGGAGUUACAAAGGACGACAUUAGACGAAUCAUCUGGAAAGAUGAAUCAAAGAAGGUAAUAAUCCUGUAGUCGAAAAUGUUGUCUCUCUUGAGUGGAUCCUGAGUACGACGGAGCACGUGAAAUUCCGUCGGAAUCUGGGAGGACCAUCUCCUAAGGCUAAAUACUCUCUAGUGACCGAUAGUGAACCAGUACCGUGAGGGAAAGGUGAAAAGCACCCCGGAAGGGGAGUGAAAUAGAACCUGAAACCGUGUGCUUACAAGUAGUCAGAGCCCGUUAAUGGGUGAUGGCGUGCCUUUUGUAGAAUGAACCGGCGAGUUACGAUUUGAUGCAAGGUUAAGCAGUAAAUGUGGAGCCGUAGCGAAAGCGAGUCUGAAUAGGGCGUUUAGUAUUUGGUCGUAGACCCGAAACCAGGUGAUCUACCCUUGGUCAGGUUGAAGUUCAGGUAACACUGAAUGGAGGACCGAACCGACUUACGUUGAAAAGUGAGCGGAUGAACUGAGGGUAGCGGAGAAAUUCCAAUCGAACCUGGAGAUAGCUGGUUCUCUCCGAAAUAGCUUUAGGGCUAGCCUCAAGUGAUGAUUAUUGGAGGUAGAGCACUGUUUGGACGAGGGGCCCCUCUCGGGUUACCGAAUUCAGACAAACUCCGAAUGCCAAUUAAUUUAACUUGGGAGUCAGAACAUGGGUGAUAAGGUCCGUGUUCGAAAGGGAAACAGCCCAGACCACCAGCUAAGGUCCCAAAAUAUAUGUUAAGUGGAAAAGGAUGUGGCGUUGCCCAGACAACUAGGAUGUUGGCUUAGAAGCAGCCAUCAUUUAAAGAGUGCGUAAUAGCUCACUAGUCGAGUGACACUGCGCCGAAAAUGUACCGGGGCUAAACAUAUUACCGAAGCUGUGGAUUGUCCUUUGGACAAUGGUAGGAGAGCGUUCUAAGGGCGUUGAAGCAUGAUCGUAAGGACAUGUGGAGCGCUUAGAAGUGAGAAUGCCGGUGUGAGUAGCGAAAGACGGGUGAGAAUCCCGUCCACCGAUUGACUAAGGUUUCCAGAGGAAGGCUCGUCCGCUCUGGGUUAGUCGGGUCCUAAGCUGAGGCCGACAGGCGUAGGCGAUGGAUAACAGGUUGAUAUUCCUGUACCACCUAUAAUCGUUUUAAUCGAUGGGGGGACGCAGUA